UACGUAGGGUGCGAGCGUUAAUCGGAAUUACUGGGCGUAAAGCGUGCGCAGGUGGUUCGCUAAGACAGAUGUGAAAUCCCCGGGCUUAACCUGGGAACUGCGUUUGUGACUGGCGGGCUAGAGUGCGGAAGAGGGAGGUGGAAUUCCACGUGUAGCAGUGAAAUGCGUAGAGAUGUGGAGGAACACCGAUGGCGAAGGCAGCCUCCUGGUCUAGCACUGACGCUCAUGAACGAAAGCGUGGGGAGCAAACAGG
rnacentral:rRNA from 1 species